UUUUCUUAAGACUGUCUUUGGUCGUAUAUGGGAAUAUUAGAUUAUUUAGUUAUUUAUCUAGUUAUCUAUUUGUUAGUUUGUGACUUUUUUAUUCGGUUAGUUGUUUGCACUAUGGCUAUAUAUGUCAUUAUUUAGUCUAAAGUUGUAAUCAGAAUAUUUAGUCUAAGUAGUAAAUAACUAAACUUCUUCUUCUUCCGCAAGAUGGUAUUAGAGAGGAAAACCUAGGCUUCGAUCCUCCCUGUUUUUUUCUGGCAACCCAUGCUUGUCCUUCUCCUCCUUCCGACAACCUAUGCUUGUUUUUCUCCUUCUUUCGGCGACCACUGUUUUCUUCCCUGUUUCUGUAUGGCGUCCCCCAAUGACGAUAUUCCUUCGACUCCGGCUACUAGUAUCGUGACGGUACCUUCGGCUGCCACUGCUUCUAGAUCUGUUCUUGAUGAUCAAUCAGACCCAUACUACCUUCACCAUGCUGAUAAUCCAGGCAAUAUUCUUGUCUCCCAGCUUCUCACAAGGCAAUCGAAUUGCACAUCUUGGAGCCGAUCUAUGAAGCUUGCCAUAUAUGUUAAAAACAAAUUAGGAUUUCUUGAUGGCUCUACUGUUAAGCCCUCUCCAUCAAACUCUUUGUACAAUGUUUGAAUUCGAAACAAUAAUAUUGUUCUUUCUUGGAUUUUAAAUUCAGUUUCUAAAGAAAUAGUUGCCAGUAUUGUUUAUGAUGAAACUGUUGCAGAUGUUUGGCAAGAUUUGAAGGUGUGAUUUCAACAAAAAAAUGGUCCUCACAUAUUCAACCUCCGGCGUGCUCUAAUGAAUCUCAAACAAGAUCUUCAUUCCAUUGGAGUAUACUAUACUCACCUCAAAACCAUUUGGGAAGAACUUUCUAAUUACAGACACAUGUGGUAAAUGUACAUGUGGAGGAAUCAAAGCCCUUCAAGAUCAUUGUCAGAUUGAGUACACCAUGUCUUUCCUUAUGGGUCUUCAAGAUUCUUACUCUCACGUUAGAGGUAAUAUCUUACUCAUGGAUCCAAUACCCCCUUUGAGCAGGGUUUUCAAUCUUGUGACUUAGGAUGAAAAUCAAAGAGGUACAUACCCUCUUCCUCCAGUUACUGAUACUACUCAAGGCAUGGCCUUUGCUAUCAAUGGAGACCCCUCGGCUUCACACCACACUCCUCGGUCUCAAAACAAUGACUCAUUCAUAUAUCGGUCUCAACCUCCUCGAAAGAACAGGCCUCUCUGUACCCACUGUAACAUUCUUGAUCACACUAUUGACUGGUGUUACAAGCUUCAUGGUUAUCCCCAUGGCUACAACAAAUCCAAGAAUACAUUUGUUAAUCAACUACACACUUCCAGUGAUGCUAUUUCCAACAACUCUGACAGCACCACUUUUCUACCUCAACUAAACAAUGUUCAAUAUCAACAACUCCUCAAUCUUCUUACAAAUCAAAACCCAGGAUCUACCAUGGUUUGAAAACUUCACAAGUCUAUAUAUGGUCUGCGCCAAUCGUUAAGACAAUGGUACACAAAGUUGUUCAAGGCUCUAGUCAAUGAUGGAUUUACCCAAUGUCAAGCUGAUUACACUCUUUUUACUAAAGGCAAUGAGACCGAUUUCAUUGCUCUUUUGGUUUAUGUCGAUGAUAUCAUCAUCGCCGGACCCUAAUUAGCUUCUCUUCAGCAGCUGCAACAUUCCCUUCAUGCCAUUUUCAAACUCAAGACACUGGAUCAAUUGAAGUAUUUUCUAGGAUUUGAAAUUGCUCAUUCAACAGUUGGUUUGUUUAUCUCCCAACGUCAAUAUACCUUACAACUUCUUCAAGACAUUGGAUACCUUGGCAGCAUUCCAGCAGCCACACCUAAGGACUCGCAACUCAAGCUAAGCACCACGGUCGACGCCCCUCUCUUGGACCCUUCACAAUAUCGAAAUUCAGUUGGACGACUGCUUUAUCUGACUUUAUCUAGACCUGAAAUCACUUAUGUUGUUCACUCCUUGAGUUAAUUCAUUGCCAACCCCCGUUUACCUCACCUACAAGCUACCCAUCAUCUUCUUCGAUUCCUCAAGGCCAAACCUUUACAAGGCAUUCUCUAUCCCUCCAAUUCUUCUCUUCACUUAAGAGCCCUUUCUAAUUCAUAUUGGGCUUCCUUCCCCACAACUAGGAGAUCCACCACUUGCUUUUGUGUUUUUUUAGGAGAUUGCUUGAUCUCUUGGCGCACUAAGAAACAAACUACUAUUCCCCGAAGUUCCAUUGAGGCUGAAUACUGUGCCAUGCCAGUGAACUGACAUGGCUACAAUAUCUUCUCAAAGAGUUUCAGAUUCUGCAAUUGAAUCUGGCAUUCAUUUACUAUGACAACACCUCUGCUAUACACAUUUCCAACAACCCCACAUUUCACGAGUGCAUGAAACACAUUGAACUUGACUGCCAUUUCAUCCGGGAUAAGAUCAAAUCUGGCUCCAUUCGCCUUAUGAGUCAGCAGCAACAACCAGCUCGCAGAUGCAUUUACUAAAGCCCUGCCUUCAACAAUUUUGGGUUCUCACAUUUCCAAGAUGACUGUUCAUGACAUCCACAGUCCAUCUUGAGGUGAGGCUAUUAGAUUAUUCUGUUAUUUAGUUAUUUAUCUAGUUGUCUAUUUGUUAGUUUGUGACUUUUUCCGCCGGUUAGUUGUUUGCACUAUGGUUAUAUAUGUGUCGUUAUUUAGUCUAAGUUGUAAUUAGAAUAUUUUAGAUAAAUAAACUUCUUCUUCCGCAAUAGGGAAGUCAAAUUUGGUUGGGAUGUACAAGUGUUAGAAUCAGAUGAAGGGAGUUCUUUUGUUGGUUUCACUUUUGAGGAUGAAUGGUUACAUAAAAAAGUAAUGGAUAAACAUCCAUGGUCUUUUAAUGGAGGCCUUUUAUUAGGAGAGACAUGGCCAGUUUUCUGGUAAUUGGAUGGAUACUAAAUUGAAUACUGUAACAUGUUGGGUUAGGAUGACGAAUUUCCAUCUGAAAGCUCUCACGAAGAAUAAUGUUAUAAGGCUGGGAAAUUUAGUAGGCAGUGUAGUGGAGAUUAAGUGGGAUAAUCCUAAUAGGGUUGUGCAAAAAACCGAAUAAAUCGCUCAAACUGACUGUCGAACAAAAAAAAAAUUGAAAUCAACCGAACCAAAAAUCGCUAAGACUGCCUUGGAAAAAACCGACAUUAAAUCGGUCGGUUUAUAAGUUGGUCACAAAUCGACCAUACAAACCGAAACCGACCGAAUAUGCUUAGGUUCCAAAUUUGUGGAUGUAACAUUGCAACCAUAUGUUUAGGUUUUCAAAUCUUCAAGUUAGCAAAUUAAAUGAAUCAUUUUCAUAUUAAAAAAAGCUAAAAAAAAAUAGAUUCCAAUAAUCUACAUUUUUUUAACUUAAAUUUCCUAAAAAAUUAUUUAAAAAAUCAAGUUUGGUUUGGGCGGUUUUAACCAACCGAACCGUAGUCUAAAUCAAUAAGUUUUUUGGUGUUGUAAAUAGGUCGGUCGAUUUUUGGAUCGCACCAAUCCGAAUCGAAAACCAAAAUCUACAUUUUAGAAUAGAAAAAAACCACACAAACUGAUCGAUGCUCAGCCCUAAAUCCUACACUCAUCAUCAUGAAGCAAGAGGUGCGAGUGAAGAUUAAGUUUCCCAUUAAUAGUCCAAUAUUUGUGGGGAGAUACUUACCUGUUAAUGGGGAAAAAAUAAUGGGUUCAGUUUAAGUUUGACUAUCUGCCUUUAUUAUGUUUUCGAUGUGGUUGGUGGGGUCAUGUUCAACGAAGAUGCAACCAAAGUAUAAUUAUGAUUAAUGACUUGAAUGGUAAGAAGGUUCCAUUAUAUGGUGAUUGGCUGAAAACAAGUGAUGAUAGGAAGGAUUGUAUCUUUGAGAAUGUUGAGUCUCAUUGGAUAAGAUCACAUCACAGGAAUGUUUAUCUUGCUAAUAUGGUGGCUGAGAAAUCUGUACAUGCGGAGAUGGGUGGUCAUAACAGUGGUUCUGAUGAUCAAAGGCUCAUAAGCAUAAUCGAUUUGAAUGUUGACCUUCAAGAGGUUGACCCACAUGGUUUAGAAAAGGUAAGGGAGCCGAAAGAUGGAGAAUAUGUGGGCACGUUCUAAGCAGUUUUGGGUCUUCCUUCUAAUGUCUUAGUUAAUUCUGAUAUAAUGGAAGAAUAUAUACAUUGUUUGAAGAGAAGGGAAAUGGUGAUAGGUGGCAAUGAGGUGACGCCAGGUGUGAAGAUGGCAGUGAUUCAAGUUAAUGACUUGGAAGAGGCCAAAGUAGUGGGUAGAAUUCUUUAAUUGGAAAUUUGAAGCCCAAAGUUGAUGCUAAUUAUAGUGAAGUGGGCGGUCCAAUUAAUAAUUGCCAUUGUGGAGAUAAGGGCACUAAUACAAAGACUUGGAGGCGAUAUGUAGAUAAAGGAAAAGAUAAAGCUAAUAUUGACUCCACAUUUGAGAGUGAGUUUGCGACUCGGAAACGUGCGGUCUACGAUGAGGGAAGAGAGGAAUUUUAAGAUGCCUUGCGUGAUAAAAAGGGUACUGUAACAAGUGCAAUUGGGCAAGACACGAAAUCAGGUGAGGAAUUUUCUAUUGAAGGGCAUGAUGAUUAGCUUGUGCAGGUACUGUCGGAGUGGUUCCAAGAGCUGGCCAUGUCAAAAGUGGAAAAACAGAGACUCUAUCAAAGAUAAGACGCGGAAAAUGGGAGCUAAUAGUAGUUUCAGAGAUUCAUUGGCAAAGAGUAGCGGAGGAAAACUUACAGCUCCUAACAUUCCUGGUAUGUGUACAUUUAUUGGAACUGAUGGUGUUGUAUAAGAGAAUAGUAUUUCUAAUGGUAUCAGAGCCAGGUCGACUCCUUCAACUUCCUUCUAGAGAGAAAACCUGUAACGUCACAAAAAUGCUAAUAGGGUUUAGUGCCUUGAUUAGCGUGCCAGGAGGACAUAAUUGGAUAUAUGUGUGAUUAACUGAUUAAAUGCAUGACUAUGUGGCAUGCAUAAUAUAUAUGAUAAUGUGAGUAUGACUAUAUGUAUGUUUAUGAAUAUUAAAUAUGUUAAUAUGCAUGUGGGCCCAUUCUUGAUAGUUGGAGCACAUUUGUAAUAUUGGCCUAUUGCGGGCAUAAAUGUUAAUAUAUAUGAGUAAAUGAUUGAGACCACAUUAUUAUAUGGAUAUAUUUGCAGUAUAUGACUUGAGGCGAUUCUAGCGAGCGGAUUGGCAGAAAAGUCACCGCGGGGAUUAAUACCUCGCUACGGGCGAGCCUAGGGUUAUUUUGGAAAGUUAAUGUAUAUUCGAGGUUUAUUGAGUAAUGAGUAAGUAUUUGGUGAUUAAAUGGGUAUGUCAUGAUUAAUUGGGAAUUUGUAGGAUGACUUGAGGAAUUAGCGGGAAUUGAGGAAAAAGAACAUUUUACCCUUAGGGAAAUUAAAAGGUUAAGUGGGUCUUUGAGGGCAUUUUGGUCUUUUCUGAGUUAAGGAUAUUACACCUAGCUGAUUCCAGGAAUGACAAAACUCUAGAUUUCUCUCAACUCACAGAUAAUCUCGCUUUCUCUCUCUAUCACUUCUCUUUCACCCUCAAGAUAAGGUUUGAAAGUUUGGAGGAACUCUUUGGAAACUAGCUGAGGGGACAAGGAUUUGAGGCUGAGAACUUGCGGAAAACAAGCUAGGGUCAAGUCUGUGGUAGCUGGGGGUUGAACUCCUUGUUUGAGGUAAGGAUUCUAUAUUAAUCUUGUUGAAUUUCUGUUGUGACUUAUGGUUCAGACUUAAGGUUUAAUUUUGUGUUUUAAUGAGUUGGUGGAGUAAGCUUUAGGAUAUUUGGUUUGGUUAUGAUACCGUGGUAUGACUUCUGGGUUAAUUUUGGGAAUAAGGAUUGAAUUGGGUGAAAAAUUAUGAGUUUGGCUGGGAAGAAAACACUGGAAAAUGGUGGUUUUUCUGGGUUUGGGGCCUCAGGCCGCGGCCCUGUUCUUCAAGCACCACAACCUGCGUGCUUGAAGAGGAUGGGAUGCCUCUGUUUCGCCAGGCGCGCCGCGACCCAGGGGGUACAAGUCACGGCUCGUGUCCUCCAGCAGGGAAAGCCUGACCUCUGUCUAAAGGGCGGGUCGCGGCCCUUAAGGGCAAGUCGUGGCCUUAAAUGGAAAAUGGAGGGAAGACAAGGUUUUUAGGCUUGGGGAGGCUCAAGGAUUCAAACCAAAGCGCUCGGGAGGAUUUCUACUACCCAGUUUAGUAGAAAUCGAGGUCCUGGAGGUUAGUAUUUGAUUCUAAAGCUUUUAAAUGAUUUAGCAUCUUAUGGUUAUCCAUUAUUGCAUUGUGACUAGGUUUUACCGCAAGGGCUCAGGAAUUAAGGAUCGUGCUCAAGGCUGUCAUACGCUUGCUGCUCGGGAUCCGAGGUAAGGGAAUUGAUAGCUGGACCAGCCAUGAUUUGGAGAGCUUCGGUGGCGGUGUGUACAUAUGCAGCCUGCUCGACCGCAACAGUCGGGAUAGCUUGGGAGGAACUAGGGUUAAACCUUAUUUUUGCUGCUUAGGACGGAUAAAUUGUAUCUGUUUAUCUUUUAAAAGUCUGUAAACUGACUUUUGGGUUCCCGUGUACAAACUUAAUAUUUUAAUGAAAAAUAAUCAUUUUGUUGACCAAAUCUUUUAUUACUUGACUUUGACUUAGUU